rnacentral:rRNA from 1 species
AUUGAACGCUGGCGGCAGGCCUAACACAUGCAAGUCGAACGGUAACAGGAAACAGCUUGCUGUUUCGCUGACGAGUGGCGGACGGGUGAGUAAUGUCUGGGAAACUGCCUGAUGGAGGGGGAUAACUACUGGAAACGGUAGCUAAUACCGCAUAACGUCGCAAGACCAAAGAGGGGGACCUUCGGGCCUCUUGCCAUCGGAUGUGCCCAGAUGGGAUUAGCUAGUAGGUGGGGUAACGGCGCACCUAGGCGACGAUCCCUAGCUGGUCUGAGGGGGUGACCAGCCACGCUGGAACUGAGACACGGUACAGAGUCCUACGGGAGGCAGAAGUGGGGAAUAUUGCACAAUGGGGGCAAGCCUGAUGCAGCCAUGUAGCGUGUAUGAAGAAGGCCUUCGGGUUGUAAAGUACUUUCAGCGGGGAGGAAGGGAGUAAAGUUAAUACCUUUGCUCAUUGACGUUACCCGCAGAAGAAGCACCGGCUAACUCCGUGCCAGCAGCCGCCGUAA